rnacentral:rRNA from 1 species
UUACCAAGGCGACGAUCAGUAGCCGACCUGAGAGGGUGAUCGGCCACAUUGGGACUGAGACACGGCCCAGACUCCUACGGGAGGCAGCAGUGGGGAAUAUUGCACAAUGGGGGAAACCCUGAUGCAGCAACGCCGCGUGAAGGAAGACGGUUUUCGGAUUGUAAACUUCUGUUCUUAGUGAAGAUAGUGACGGUAGCAGAGGAGGAAGCUCCGGCUAACUAC